rnacentral:rRNA from 1 species
UACAGAGACUGCAAGCGUUAUUCGGAUUCACUGGGCGUAAAGGGUGCGCAGGUGGCCAUGUGUGUGAGGCGUGAAAGCCCGGGGCUUAACCCCGGAAUUGCACCUCAAACUACAUGGCUAGAGCAUUGGAGAGGGGAGCAGAAUUCACGGUGUAGCAGUGAAAUGCGUAGAUAUCAAGAGGAACACCUGAGGUGAAGACGGGUUGCUGGGCUGACACUGACGCUGAGGCGCGAAAGCUAGGGUAGCAAACGGG